rnacentral:tRNA from 249 species
GGAAGCGUGGCCGAGUGGUUUAAGGCAACGGUCUUGAAAACCGUCGAUGGGCAACUAUCCUAGAGUUCGAAUCUCUACGCUUCCGCCA